AUCUACGGCCAUACCACCCUGAACGUGCCCGAUCUUGUCUGAUCUCGGAAGUUAAGCAGGGUCGGGCCUGGUUAGUACUUGGAUGGGAGAUAGGGUCUCAUGUAGCCAAGGAUA
rnacentral:rRNA from 1 species